ensembl:snoRNA LOC120103321 small nucleolar RNA SNORA17
ACUGCCUCUAGAAGCUUUAUAGGUGUGGCUACUCUGUCCCGUGUGCAUCAGUAGGUGGCAGCGAGGAGAGAGGCUGUGUCUACUGUUCUGACCCAUUCACAUCUGAGUGAUUAGUAGUCUAACAUU